GUGCUCGCUUUGGCAGCACGUAUACUAAAAUUGAA
rnacentral:snRNA from 1 species